rnacentral:rRNA from 2 species
CGCGCGGGGGCGCGUCCUAUAAUGCAAGUCGAACGAACUCUGGUAUUGAUUGGUGCUUGCAUCAUGAUUUACAUUUGAGUGAGUGGCGAACUGGUGAGUAACACGUGGGAAACCUGCCCAGAAGCGGGGGAUAACACCUGGAAACAGAUGCUAAUACCGCAUAACAACUUGGACCGCAUGGUCCGAGUUUGAAAGAUGGCUUCGGCUAUCACUUUUGGAUGGUCCCGCGGCGUAUUAGCUAGAUGGUGGGGUAACGGCUCACCAUGGCAAUGAUACGUAGCCGACCUGAGAGGGUAAUCGGCCACAUUGGGACUGAGACACGGCCCAAACUCCUACGGGAGGCAGCAGUAGGGAAUCUUCCACAAUGGACGAAAGUCUGAUGGAGCAACGCCGCGUGAGUGAAGAAGGGUUUCGGCUCGUAAAACUCUGUUGUUAAAGAAGAACAUAUCUGAGAGUAACUGUUCAGGUAUUGACGGUAUUUAACCAGAAAGCCACGGCUAACUACGUGCCAGCAGCCGCGGUAAUACGUAGGUGGCAAGCGUUGUCCGGAUUUAUUGGGCGUAAAGCGAGCGCAGGCGGUUUUUUAAGUCUGAUGUGAAAGCCUUCGGCUCAACCGAAGAAGUGCAUCGGAAACUGGGAAACUUGAGUGCAGAAGAGGACAGUGGAACUCCAUGUGUAGCGGUGAAAUGCGUAGAUAUAUGGAAGAACACCAGUGGCGAAGGCGGCUGUCUGGUCUGUAACUGACGCUGAGGCUCGAAAGUAUGGGUAGCAAACAGGAUUAGAUACCCUGGUAGUCCAUACCGUAAACGAUGAAUGCUAAGUGUUGGAGGGUUUCCGCCCUUCAGUGCUGCAGCUAACGCAUUAAGCAUUCCGCCUGGGGAGUACGGCCGCAAGGCUGAAACUCAAAGGAAUUGACGGGGCCCGCACAAGCGGUGGAGCAUGUGGUUUAAUUCGAAGCUACGCGAAGAACCUUACCAGGUCUUGACAUACUAUGCAAUCUAGAGAUUAGACGUUCCCUUCGGGACAUGGAUACAGGUGGUGCAUGGUGUC